rnacentral:lncRNA from 1 species
UAUGCAUAAGUGCAAUGAAACGACUCUGGGGAAUAAAAACAAUAGCAUACAAAUGCAAAAAUGUAUAAAUGGAGAACAUGCAAGUGGGAUGAUUUUACAUUCAAAAUCGAGUGUACAAAACACAAUGUACAAAUGCGAAAAAUGUAGAAGUGACAAAUGUAUAAACGGAGUUCUAUUGUAUUUAAAAAAAUUUAACCGGAAUUCAGACCUGAAUUAUUUAUAUAGCAAUCAGCUACACUACUAACGAGGCUAUUAAUAUGUUAAAAUUUUAAACAAAUUAUGAUAAUUGAACGAAAUGUUGAAAAUUACAAACUUUAAAAAAUUUAUAUAAAAAAAUGAUUGAGUGUCCACAUCUAAGAUUUUGACAGGUGAAUCAAUACAUGGAUCACCAUAAUUCUGCAAAAUUUUGCCCAAAUCAUAGAUCAUAAUCAGGUCCCCAAUCAUGAGUCACAAUUGACAAGGUCCCCUUGUCAGUUUAACAGACCCUGUUUUAACAGAUUUGAAUUUAAUUCACAAAAUAUUUAAUCCUCAUUUUUAUUUGAACUUUAUUUUUGGUCAUCACUAUUGAUUAUAGCAAAAAAAAAUUUUAUCAACAAAAAAUAGCAAGU